rnacentral:rRNA from 1 species
GACGAACGCUGGCGGCGUGCUUAACACAUGCAAGUCGAACGGAAAGGCCCUGCUUUUGUGGGGUGCUCGAGUGGCGAACGGGUGAGUAACACGUGAGUAACCUGCCCUUGACUUUGGGAUAACUUCAGGAAACUGGGGCUAAUACCGGAUAGGAGCUCCUGCUGCAUGGUGGGGGUUGGAAAGUUUCGGCGGUUGGGGAUGGACUCGCGGCUUAUCAGCUUGUUGGUGGGGUAGUGGCUCACCAAGGCUUUGACGGGUAGCCGGCCUGAGAGGGUGGCCGGCCACAGUGGGCUUGGGGUACGGCCCAGACGGAAACGGGAGGCAGCGGUGGGGAAUAUUGCACAAUGGGCGGAAGGCUGAUGCAGCAACGCCGCGUGGGGGAUGACGGCCUUCGGGUGGUAAACCGCUUUCGCGUGUGACGAAGCGUGAGGGACGGUAAUGGGCAAAGAAGCACCGGCUAACUAGGU